UACAGAGGGUGCUAGCGUUGUUCGGAAUCAUUGGGCGUAAAGGGCGUGUAGGCGGUUUGUUAAGUCAUGUGUGAAAUCCCUCGGCUCAACCGGGGAACGACGCAUGAAACUGGCAAGCUAGAGUACCAAAGAGGGGGGUGGAAUUCCCGGUGUAGCGGUGAAAUGCGUAGAUAUUGGGAGGAACACCAGUGGCGAAGGCGGCUCACUGGACCGGUACUGACGCUGAUGCGCGAAAGCGUGGGGAGCAAACGGG
rnacentral:rRNA from 1 species